GAUGAACGCUGGCGGCGUGCCUAAUACAUGCAAGUCGAACGCUGGAAAUCUAACUUUCCUGAUUGAAGGAGUGGCGCACGGGUGAGUAAUACAUAAGCAACCUACCCAUGAAGACCGGGAUAAUCUCUGGAAACGGGGACUAAUUCCGGAUAGGUAAUCUGAACGCCUCUUCUGAUUAUUAAAGGAUAAAAUCACUGUUGGAUGUGCUUAUGGCGCAUGAGUUAGUUGGUGAGGUAACGGCCCACCAAGACGAUGAUGCGUAGCCGGACUGAGAGCGUGAACGGCGACAUUGAGACUGAGACCAGGCCCAGACGCCAAGGGGAGGCAGCGGUAGGGAAGUUUCGGCAAUGGGGGAGACCGUGACCGAGCAAGGCAGCGAGAGUGAUGACGGCAUUCGGGUUGUAAAGCUCUGUUGUAAGAGAAGUACGGUAGAUAGAGAAUAUCUAAAUGACGGUACCUUACAAGAAGGCAACGGCUACCUACGU
rnacentral:rRNA from 1 species